rnacentral:rRNA from 1 species
GAGUUUGAUCAUGGCUCAGAUUGAACGCUGGCGGCAGGCUUAACACAUGCAAGUCGAGCGGAAACGAUGGGAGCUUGCUCCCAGGCGUCGAGCGGCGGACGGGUGAGUAACGCGUAGGAAUCUACCCAGUAGUGGGGGAUAGCCCGGGGAAACUCGGAUUAAUACCGCAUACGCCCUACGGGGGAAAGGCCGGGAUCUUCGGACCGGUCGCUAUUGGAUGAGCCUGCGUUGGAUUAGCUAGUUGGUAGGGUAAAGGCCUACCAAGGCGACGAUCCAUAGCUGGUCUGAGAGGAUGAUCAGCCACACUGGAACUGAGACACGGUCCAGACUCCUACGGGAGGCAGCAGUGGGGAAUCUUAGACAAUGGGCGAAAGCCUGAUCUAGCGAUGCCGCGUGAGUGAUGAAGGCCUUUGGGUUGUAAAGCUCUUUCGUCGGGGAAGAAAAUGACUGUACCCGAAUAAGAAGGUCCGGCUAACUUCGUGCCAGCAGCCGCGGUAAUACGAAGGGACCUAGCGUAGUUCGGAAUUACUGGGCUUAAAGAGUUCGUAGGUGGUUGAAAAAGUUGGUGGUGAAAUCCCAGAGCUUAACUCUGGAACUGCCAUCAAAACUUUUCAGCUAGAGUAUGAUAGAGGAAAGCAGAAUUUCUAGUGUAGAGGUGAAAUUCGUAGAUAUUAGAAAGAAUACCAAUUGCGAAGGCAGCUUUCUGGAUCAUUACUGACACUGAGGAACGAAAGCAUGGGUAGCGAAGAGGAUUAGAUACCCUCGUAGUCCAUGCCGUAAACGAUGUGUGUUAGACGUUGGAAAUUUAUUUUCAGUGUCGCAGGGAAACCGAUAAACACACCGCCUGGGGAGUACGACCGCAAGGUUAAAACUCAAAUGAAUUGACGGGGACCCGCACAAGUAGUGGAGCAUGUGGUUUAAUUCGAAGAUACGCGCAGAACCUUACCAACACUUGACAUGUUCGUCGCGACUCUAAGAGAUUAGAGUUUUCGGUUCGGCCGGACGAAACACAGGUGCUGCAUGGCUGUCGUCAGCUCGUGUCGUGAGAUGUUGGGUUAAGUCCCGCAACGAGCGCAACCCUCACUUUUAGUUGCCAUCAUUAAGUUGGGCACUCUGAAAGAACUGCCAGUGAUAAGCUGGAGGAAGGUGGGGAUGACGUCAAGUCCUCAUGGCCCUUACGUGUUGGGCUACACACGUGCUACAAUGGCAUCUACAACAGGAAGCAAAACGGCAACGUUAAGCAAAUCCCAAAAAGAUGCCUCAGUUCGGAUUGCACUCUGCAACUCGAGUGCAUGAAGCUGGAAUUACUAGUAAUCGUGGAUCAGCGUGCCACGGUGAAUGCGUUCCCGGGUCUUGUACACACCGCCCGUCACACCAUGGGAGCUGGUUCUACCUUAAGGCAAGGUUUUAAACCCUUGACCACGGUAUAGUCAGCGACUGGGGUGAAGUCGUAACAAGGUAACC